GGCACGGGGACCCACCAGCUUGUCUGCCGCCAUCUGGGGCUGGAGUGCAAUGGCAUGAUCUCAGCUCACUGCAACCUCUGCCUCCCGGGUUCAAGCAAUUCUCCUGUCUCAGCCUCCUGAGUAGCUGGAUUACAGGAUCAUGACAACAGCAUGAAACAAUGCAAGUAGAAUUUCUGGAAUACCCUAUGUUAAUGCCAUUUCCCUUCCCCUUUUCCCUGAAGAGUCUUUUCUAAGGCACCAACUACUUCCUUCAAGCAGCAGCCAGAGAUCUUUGCUUAAUGGCUGAGAAACACAGAGGAGAGACCCAGAGAGAAGGAGAAGGCCGCAUGAAGAUGGAGCAGAGACUGGAGUUAUUCAGCCAAGUCAAGGAAUGCCUGGAGCACCAGAAGCCGGAAGAGGCAAGGAAGGAUCCUCCCUUAGAGCAUUUGGAAGAGUGUGGCCCUGCCAACACCUUGACUUCAAACUUCUGGCCUCCAUAACUAUGAAAUAAAUUCUUGUUGUUUUAAGCCA
rnacentral:lncRNA from 1 species